rnacentral:lncRNA from 1 species
CACUUCUCAAAAAAGCAUUAGUCUUUAUUGAUGACAUUCUUUUGUUCUUCGAAACUGAAUAUAAAUUACACUCCAAAAAUUUACAAAUAUUUUCACAAAAUAUGGUAUCAUGUUGUUGCCAAAAAUAAAAAAUAAAAAAUGAUCAUUGCAACAACAGAAUUUGAUUUCCUCAGAAUGUACAUCAAGAAUGGCAAGUACUCUCUUCAGCUACACAUUGCCCACGAACUUCUCAUGUUUCCUGGUGAAAAUUUGACUAGACAACCAGUCCAAUAGUUUCUUGGGAUUGUGAAUUAUAUGAUUAACUCCUUUAAGCAACUGGCCCCCAUUAUAAGACAUCUACAAGACAUGCUGAAGAACAAUAAUCUACAGUGGUCAUACAAACAGACUUAGAUUAUUAAGAUGAUCAAAAACAGGAUUAAUAAUUUUUUAGAAUUACAAGUCCUUACUGAGGGAAGGAGAAUUUUAUAGACAGAUGCAAAUAAUAUAUAAGCAGUAUUUCUAGAACAAAAGGAUGGUGAAAGGAGAAUUUACGAUACAAAAAGUGCUAUGUUCAAGGAAUCUGAAAAAUAUUACGACUCGAAAUUCAAAGAAAUCCUUGCAGUGAAAAGAGAAACUGAGAAAUUCCAACGGUCAUAAAUUUCUAGUUGAAAUGGACAUUAUGGCAUUUCCUCAAAUGUGAACUUCAUAAAGAAACAAAUUCCAAACUCACAGCUCUUGGAAUGGGUUGAAUGAUUUUUCAAUUUUAACUUUGAAGUCAAACAUAUCAAAGGCAAAUCUAAUAUCUCAGUCGAUUUAUUCUCCAGAACAAUACCUCACAUUCAAUUACAGAUUGCUAUCAUCCAAUUCUCAAUCCGCCCUCAACUAUAUCCUCACAAAAUCCUCCAAUCUAAAAUUUAUCUCUUGAACUUCAAAACCUGAUGAGGAACAGGACAAUCCAUUCAAGAUCAAAAGUGUAAUGAUCCAAUCUUUGCGUCAAAGCUGUUCACUUUCAAUUAGUACCAGGACUCAACUUAAAUCUCUCUUAAGGAAAUGUCAUGUGUUUGAGUCCUGGGAAUAUGAUAGAAAUCUGUAAGGGAAUAAGAUGGACUCAAGCUUUCCUAUAGUGGACAGUGCAUAAAGCUUCGACACAAAGCCUGGGUUGUUACAAAAGGAACUCAUGCUAAAAUACAAAUACAUGGUUAUCAGACAAUAUGUCAGAAUUCAACCAAACAAUAUCUUUAAAAAUUUAGAAAUUCCGGAAGAAAAAUGACAGAAUUCAACCAAAUAAUACAUUCAAAAAUUUUGCCUAACCAUGGAAAAUGUUGCCAAUGAACUAUGCUCCUCCUAAUGAUUAUCACCUUGACAACUUUUGAAAUCAAUUGUGU